AUCUCUACAGUAGCACCGGCAUCCGAUCCACUUUCAACCAAACCAAUAGCAGCUGAAGAUUUAUCUGCAGGUUUUUGAAGAAGGACAAUGCGAAGCUCUUGAAUACCAACGUUUCGAACAAGGUAAGGCUUAACCUCACGCAAAACUUCAAGCUCAUUGAAUCCGAGUUCACGACUAAAUAUGGAAUUGGCUGACACAUGCUCUCCACGGUUAAUGACAGAUUGUUUG